ensembl:lncRNA TNS2-AS1 TNS2 antisense RNA 1
GUGGUUGGAAGGGAGGCUGGGAGCCCGGCCGCCGCGGAGGAGGGUGCCUGGUACUGGAUAGGAACUUCAUGGAAUGGAGCUAAUGGGCCGUAGGGCAGGUUUGAGUCGUGCCACCCUGGAGCAGAAGGUGGAGGGUAGGGAUAAGGGGGUGGAGCACCUGAUUCCAAUCUUGCCACAGGGAAGAAGAGUCUGUGAAGAAGGUGGAGAGAAACUAGGAGAAAAGCACAGGAUGUAGAGGUCUAUUCGGCAUAAUCUUCUCCCUCAUUUUCAUCUUCACCAUCAACAGAGAGAGCAGCAUACUUGCUUGCAGAACUGAACUUCUGUAACACAACGAGAGUGACAGGAUAAUGAAGGCCCUGAAUUAUCACAUCAAAACCCAAGACACAGGAUACUGAUCCUUUGGCAAUGGGGGAUGACAGUCAGAUGACACCCACUUGCUUGCUCAUCAGCAUUGUCCAUUGGAGAGGAGCUAGGGAAGAGGGUCAGAGGCACAUGCGAUCUUACUAUAGUCUCAUACCACCUCUACACCUUGCAGAAGGGAUGAGAACAAAGGAAGACAGAAACCAGGAAAAAGCUAAACUUCUUUCGCUAUUUCAGUAAAGACCAAUGUCUUAUUUCCAAACACUUUGUAUUCCAAAUGGAAAGAAGUCCAACGGCAAAAAGUUUAGAAUACUAAGAAUUUUUAAUUCUUAGUAAGAAUACUUAGAAUUCUAAGAAUUUUUCUUAGAAUGAAAAAUUGGGAGCAGCCUUCAACACUUACGGAAGCUGGAUUUUCCUCAGGUUUCUUUGGCUCAGGUGCAGAUCUGGAGUCUUGAUCCUUUUUGCCAUCUUUCCUGCAGAGACGUAAGCAUAAAACCAUGUCUUUAGGAAAGGACUCGCCUAAUACAAACAUGUGUAUGCAUGCAGUUUCAAGGCACUGAACAGGCACCUCUAGUCAACAGUCCUUGUUGUCUGGAUGAUGUAUUACUUCUAGAUUUUCAGAAUCUUAACUGUCUACGUUGGCUGACUUUAGUUUGCUCACAAUGAGCGAUCUGGCAGUGCUCUGAGAACCAAGAACUUAAUUUCUUAAUUACACAAACAUGUGGAUCAGAGGAAAGAUGAGAAAGAGAACAAGCAUACCUAUCUGACUCCUUCCAGUGGUCUCUGUUCCCUCCGUCGCCUGGACCACGGCUAGAGUUCCCAGUUUGGCCUUUUGGGGCAUUCAUCCCAUCUACUUUAUUUUCAUCUGCUUGGGCAGUAAUGUAAACAAAUUAAAGGCAAGUAAAAGUAUCAAUGUCCCUCUCCUAAGAUUUCCCUUAAGCUGAAGAAAAUUGUGCCCACAUGUACUGAGGGAAACUAACCUCACCCCAACCCAGACUUCCUUCCUGAAGCCCUUCUUUCCACAUCCUCUACAGCACACAAAAAUACAAAAAACAAACAAAAUCCACUAAAAAGUUCCAUGUAGGGAUAUGCCAUCAUGAAAAGCAAGCUGGAAAUA